CCAGUGUAGUCUUGUGUCUAAGCUGGUGUCUGGCCACCAAAGGCAGGCGUGCAGGGCCUUGGCUACUGCGCUAGGUCUGCUGAUGGCCACAAGCCUUUAGUCCCAGCUCUGCCUUAGCAAUGGGGGUGUCUGAAGGCUCAGGGGAUACACAGGUCCUCUAGGUUCCUGGGGAGAUGAUGACGGAGUCUUGCUGUGUUGCCAGGCUGGAGUGCAGUGGCGCGAUCUCGGCUCACUGCAACCUCUGCCUCCCACGUUCAAGCGAUUUUCCUGCCUCAGCCUCCCGAGCAGCUGGGAUUACAGGCACGCACCGCAAUGCCCAGAGUGAGAGUUUCGACCAGGAGUGGAUACUGAGGAGAGCAAAGAUCACCUGGUGCUCAUCAAGCCGGACUUCCAGAGGCAAAGCUCCUUAACUGAAGAAUUCAGAAGUCUUUGAGGAAUCACCACCAUGGAAUACUAUGCAGCCAUAAAAAAGAAAGAUAACAUGUCCUUCACAGGGACAUAGAUGGAGCUGGAGGCCAUUCUCCUUAGCAAACUAAACUAUGUAACAAACCUAUACUUGUACCCCAGAACUUAAAAUAAAAGUUUAAAAAAGCCCUUUCCUUUUCAAAUCUAUACUGUUGUUGGUAAAUUCUUCUUACUACCCAUGAGUAAAUCACUUUUUGUUGCCUGAGAUCUGACACCUCACCCAGCAGGCACCUACCAUUUUUACUCCCCAUUUACCUGUCUAAGCAGGAAUUGGUGACUUAACAAAUUUGGAGGAAGAUUUUAGCAGAAAGAGAAUUUGAUCAGAGCCUAGUGACUCUAACUAACAGACCUAUUAGUAGGCAGUCAAGGUUCUCCAGAGAAAUAGAAGCAGUAGGACAUGGGGCAGGGAAAAGGAGAGAGAGAGAGAGAAAGAAAAAGAGAGAGAAAGGUACCAAGGAAUUGGCUCAUGUGUUAGGGGCUGGCCAAGCAAAUCUGAAAUCUGCAGGGCAGGCUGUCAGAAAGGGCAGGCAAGAAACUCUAAGGGCCGAGAGCUGUGGUCCACAGGUAGAAUUUCUUCUUCUCCGGGAAACCUCUUUCUAGUGUGGCAGCAAAUAAUGACUAAAUGGAUUUUGUGGCUAAGGCAGCACAGAGAUAUAGAAAAAGUUCAACAGGUAUUAUUAAAAGGCAUUUAAUCUCUAGGCAACUCAGCUAGAUGAAAUGCAAUGAAAGAGUCGCUGCUUUUUUCAGGAGAGAUACAUGAGGCAUCUUUACCUAAUAAACACCAUUUGUUAUAUUGAAGCUUUAGGGCCGAAGCCAAUGAGUUGAAACUCUUAAAAACAAAAUCUUUUGAAAAUAAUUCUGCACAUUUAGGCGUGUUUUUUUUUUCUCUCCUUUGGGAUCUGAAGAAAAUUUCCUACUUACUCUGCCCAGCCCCCAACCUUUCUUUGGCUUUUGUGAUGGUUUAUUCUGUAAGAUCCACCCAUAGAAUGAGGACCACCUGUAAAGGUCAUCAAAGUUUGUUUAUUCAGAUCUUACCAAUAAGGGACUUACAACGCUUUUCAUUUUUGGCAGAGACUCCCAGGGGUUUUAAAAGAGUUUUAUAGAAUCAAAGGAGCCUUAAGUUUUAAGACAGUCCUUGACUGGGGA
rnacentral:lncRNA from 1 species